rnacentral:tRNA from 1 species
GCCGAGGUGGCGAAAUUGGCAGACGCGCCAGACUUAGGAUCUGGUGGAGAAAUCCCUAGGGGUUCGAGUCCCCUCCUCGGCA